GUGGGGAAUCUUGCGCAAUGGGCGAAAGCCUGACGCAGCCAUGCCGCGUGAAUGAUGAAGGUCUUAGGAUUGUAAAAUUCUUUCACCGGGGACGAUAAUGACGGUACCCGGAGAAGAAGCCCCGGCUAACUUCGUGCCAGCAGCCGCGGUAAUACGAAGGGGGCUAGCGUUGCUCGGAAUUACUGGGCGUAAAGGGCGCGUAGGCGGACAGUUUAGUCAGAGGUGAAAGCCCAGGGCUCAACCUUGGAAUUGCCUUUGAUACUGGCUGUCUUGAGUACGGGAGAGGUGAGUGGAACUCCGAGUGUAGAGGUGAAAUUCGUAGAUAUUCGGAAGAACACCAGUGGCGAAGGCGACUCACUGGCCCGUUACUGACGCUGAGGCGCGAAAGCGUGGGGAGCAAACAGGAUUAGAAACCCCGAUAGUCC
rnacentral:rRNA from 1 species